CCUANGGGUGGCAGCAGUGAGGAAUAUUGCGCAAUGGGGGAAACCCUGACGCAGCGACGCCGCGUGGGUGAUGAAGGCCUUCGGGUCGUAAAACCCUUUUAGCAGGGACGAGUGAGGACGGUACCUGCUGAAUAAGUCUCGGCUAACUACGUGCCAGCAGCCGCGGUAAAACGUAGGAGGCGAGCGUUAUCCGGAUUCACUGGGCGUAAAGCGUGCGUAGGCGGUCGGGUAAGUCGGAUGUGAAAGCCCCUGGCUCAACUGGGGGAGGUCAUUCGAUACUGCUCGGCUUGAGGAUGAGAGAGGAGAGCGGAAUUCCCGGUGUAGCGGUGGAAUGCGUAGAGAUCGGGAGGAACACCAGCGGCGAAAGCGGCUCUCUGGCUCAUAUCUGACGCUGAGUGCACGACAGCGUGGGGAGCAAACGGGAUUAGAUACCCUGNUANUC
rnacentral:rRNA from 1 species